AUUGAACGCUGGCGGCAGGCCUAACACAUGCAAGUCGAGCGGAUGAAGGGAGCUUGCUCCUGGAUUCAGCGGCGGACGGGUGAGUAAUGCCUAGGAAUCUGCCUGGUAGUGGGGGAUAACGUCCGGAAACGGGCGCUAAUACCGCAUACGUCCUGAGGGAGAAAGUGGGGGAUCUUCGGACCUCACGCUAUCAGAUGAGCCUAGGUCGGAUUAGCUAGUUGGUGGGGUAAAGGCCUACCAAGGCGACGAUCCGUAACUGGUCUGAGAGGAUGAUCAGUCACACUGGAACUGAGACACGGUCCAGACUCCUACGGGAGGCAGCAGUGGGGAAUAUUGGACAGUGGGCGAAAGCCUGAUACAGCCAUGCCGCGUGUGUGAAGAAGGUCUUCGGAUUGUAAAGCACUUUAAGUUGGGAGGAAGGGCAGUAAGUUAAUACCUUGCUGUUUUGACGUUACCAGCAGAAUAAGCACCGGCUAACUACGUG
rnacentral:rRNA from 1 species